GACGAACGCUGGCGGCGUGCCUAAUACAUGCAAGUAGGACGCAGUUGCGAACGGGUGAGUAACGCGUAGGUAACUACCUAUUAGAGGGGGAUAACUAUUGGAAACGAUAGCUACUACCGCAUACUAGUAGAUGGACCUGCGUUGUAUUUGCUAGUAGGUAGGGUAAUGGCCUACCUAGGCAACGAUACAUAGCCGAACCGGGAGGGUGAUCGGCCAACAUGGGACGGAGACACGGCCCAGACACCUAGGGAAGGCAGCAGUAAGGAUUCUGCGGCAAUGGGGGGAACCCUGAACGAGCAACGCCGGGUGAGUGAAGAAGGUUUUCGGAUCGUAAAGCUCUGUUGUUAAGGAAGCGGUACUUAACCAGAAAGGGACGGCUAACUACGUGCCAGCCGCCGCGGUAAGAC
rnacentral:rRNA from 1 species